GGAUAGCCCGCCGAAAGGCGGAUUAAUACCGCAUGAGGAUUAAUCUACGCAUGCGGAAUAAUUCAAAGCAGCAAUGCGCUACAGGAUGGGCUUGCGGCCUAUCAGCUAGUUGGUGGGGUAACGGCCUACCAAGGCGACGACGGGUAGCUGGUCUGAGAGGAUGGUCAGCCGGAUUGGGACUGAGAUACGGCCCAGACUCCUACGGGGGGCAGCAAUUAGGAAUCUUGCGCAAUGGGGGAAACCCUGACGCAGCGACGCCGCGUGAAUGAUGAAGUCUUUCGGGAUGUAAAGUUCUGUCCUAUGGGGAAGAAGAAUGUGACGGUACCCAUAGAGAAAGCCCCGGCUAACUACGUGCCAGCAGCCGCGGUAAUACGUAGGGGGCGAGCGUUGUCCGAAUUUACUGGGCGUAAAGCGCGUGUAGGCGGCUCUUUAAGUGGGAUGUGAAAUCCCGUGGCUCAACCACGGAACUGCAUUUCAAACUGGAGGGCUUGAAUUUGGGAGAGGAAAGUGGAAUUCCUGGUGUAGCGGUGAAAUGCGUAGAUAUCAGGAGGAACACCCGUGGCGAAGGCGGCUUUCUGGCCCAACAUUGACGCUGAGACGCGAAAGCUAGGGGGAGCGAACGGGAUUAGAUACCCCGGUAGUCCUAGCCGUAAACGAUGGAUACUAGGUGUAAGUGGUAUCGACCCCACUUGUGCCGCAGCUAACGCAUUAAGUAUCCCGCCUGGGGAGUACGGCCGCAAGGUUGAGACUCAAAGGAAUUGACGGGGGCCCGCACAAGCGGUGGAGCAUGUGGCUUAAUUCGUCACUAACCGAAGAACCUUACCAGGGUUUGACAUCCACUGUAAGUCCAUGAAAGUGGUACCCUCUGCAGCAAUGCAGACUGUGAGACAGGUGUUGCAUGGCUGUCGUCAGCUCGUGUCGUGAGAUGUUGGGUUAAGUCCCGCAACGAGCGCAACCCUCAUCAGAUGUUGCCAGCGUAAAGUCGGGAACUCUUCUGAAACUGCCCGUGUAAGCGGGAGGAAGGUGGGGAUGACGUCAAGUCGGCAUGGCCCUUACGCCCUGGGCUGCACACAUGCUACAAUGGUCGUUAACAAAGGGAAGCAAGGCGGCGACGCGGAGCUAAUCUCAAAAAUACGGCCUCAGUUCGGAUUGUAGUCUGCAACUCGACUACAUGAAGUCGGAAUCGCUAGUAACCGCAGGUCAGCUAAACUGCGGUGAAUACGUU
rnacentral:rRNA from 1 species